AGCAGCUGCGGUAAUUCCAGCUCCAAUAGCGUAUAUUAAAGUUGUUGCAGUUAAAAGCUCGUAGUUGAAUUUCGGGAUCAGUUGGUCGGUCGUGCCUCGGUACGUACUGGUCAAAUUGAUUCCUACCUUCUGACGAACCACGAUGUCAUUAAUUUGGUGUCGCGGGAAAUCAGGACUGUUACUUUGAGAAAAUUAGAGUGUUUAAAGCAGGCUCGCGCUUGAAUACAUUAGCAUGGAAUAAUGAAAUAGGACGUUUGAUUCUAUUUUGUUGGUUUCUAGGAUCGACGUAAUGAUUAAUAGGGAUAGUUGGGGGCAUUAGUAUUCAAUUGUCAGAGGUGAAAUUCUUGGAUUUAUUGAAGACUAACUACUGCGAAAGCAUUUGCCAAGGAUGUUUUCAUUAAUCAAGAACGAAAGUUAGGGGAUCGAAGACGAUCAGAUACCGUCGUAGUCUUAACC
rnacentral:misc_RNA from 1 species